rnacentral:ncRNA from 1 species
CACCACCCGUCACACUAUGGGAGCUGGCCAUGCCCGAAGUCCUUACCUUAACGGCAAGGAGGGGGAUGCCGAAGGCAGGGCUAGUGACUGGAGUAAAGUCGUAACAAGGUAGCCGUACUGGAAGGUGUAUUUC